rnacentral:rRNA from 1 species
UACGUAGGGGGGCUAGCGUUGUCCGGAAUCAUUGGGCGUAAAGAGCGUGUAGGCGGUCCGGUAAGUCCGCUGUGAAAGUCGGGGGCUCAACCCUCGAAUGCCGGUGGAUACUGUCGGGCUAGAGUGCGGAAGAGGCGAGUGGAAUUCCUGGUGUAGCGGUGAAAUGCGCAGAUAUCAGGAGGAACACCUAUUGCGAAGGCAGCUCGCUGGGACGUAACUGACGCUGGAGACGCGAAAGCGUGGGGAGCAAACAGG